AUGGCCCAGGUGACAGAGCCAUGGCAUCACCACCUAAACAUGAAUCAGAUCCCCCCUGGCUCAGGGCCCACUCCAAACCUUGGUGAGACUGUGCUGACCGAGCCGCCAGCCUUCCUGCCUGGGACUCCAGGGCAGAGAGCCACCGUCAGCUGCCGGGCCGGCCGGGGCAUUAGCAGCUUCCUGCCCUGGUACCAGCAGAAACCAGACCAGGCUCCGAAGCGCCUUGUAAAGUAUGCUUCCCAGACCGUCUCGGGGGUCCCUGUGAGGUUCAGUGGCAGUGGGUCUGGGACAGAUUUUACCCUCACCAUCAAUGGUCUGGAGCCUGAAGACUUUGCAACUUAUUACUGUCAACAAAGCACUGACUGGAUGCACUAUGGGUCAGGAGUCUAG